GAUGAACGCUGGCGGCGUGCCUAAUACAUGCAAGUCGAGCGAACAGACGAGGAGCUUGCUCCUCUGACGUUAGCGGCGGACGGGUGAGUAACACGUGGAUAACCUACCUAUAAGACUGGGAUAACUUCGGGAAACCGGAGCUAAUACCGGAUAAUAUAUUGAACCGCAUGGUUCAAUAGUGAAAGACGGUUUUGCUGUCACUUAUAGAUGGAUCCGCGCCGCAUUAGCUAGUUGGUAAGGUAACGGCUUACCAAGGCGACGAUGCGUAGCCGACCUGAGAGGGUGAUCGGCCACACUGGAACUGAGACACGGUCCAGACUCCUACGGGAGGCAGCAGUAGGGAAUCUUCCGCAAUGGGCGAAAGCUUGACGGAGCAACGCCGCGUGAGUGAUGAAGGUCUUCGGAUCGUAAAACUCUGUUAUUAGGGAAGAACAAAUGUGUAAGUAACUAUGCACGUCUUGACGGUACCUAAACAGAAAGCCACGGCUAACUACGUG
rnacentral:rRNA from 1 species